rnacentral:misc_RNA from 1 species
CCGAGUUUACAACCCCCAAACCCCUGUGAACAUACCAAUUGUUGCCUCGGCGGAUCAGCCCGCUCCCGGUAAAACGGGACGGCCCGCCAGAGGACCCCUAAACUCUGUUUCUAUAUGUAACUUCUGAGUAAAACCAUAAAUAAAUCA